rnacentral:rRNA from 1 species
UAGGGAAUCUUCGGCAAUGGAGGCAACCCUGACCGAGCAACGCCGCGUGAGUGAAGAAGGUUUUCGGAUCGUAAAGCUCUGUUGUAAGAGAAGAACGAGUGUGAGAGUGGAAAGUUCACACUGUGACGGUAACUUACCAGAAAGGGACGGCUAACUACGUGCCAGCAGCCGCGGUAAUACGUAGGUCCCGAGCGUUAUCCGGAUUUAUUGGGCGUAAAGCGAGCGCAGGCGGUUAGAUAAGUCUGAAGUUAAAGGCUGUGGCUUAACCAUAGUACGCUUUGGAAACUGUUUAACUUGAGUGCAAAAGGGGAGAGUGGAAUUCCAUGUGUAGCGGUGAAAUGCGUAGAUAUAUGGAGGAACACCGGUGGCGAAAGCGGCUCUCUGGUUUGUAACUGACGCUGAGGCUCGAAAGCGUGGGGAGCAAACAGGAUUAGAUACCCUGGUAGUCCACGCCGUAAACGAUGAGUGCUAGGUGUUGGNUCCUUUCCGGGGCUCAGUGCCGCAGCUAACGCAUUAAGCACUCCGCCUGGGGAGUACGACCGCAAGGUUG